rnacentral:misc_RNA from 1 species
UAGCUGCAGGGUUUUGCCCCAAGGUACAUUCCUAGUGUGGUUGUUUGGAAGGGUCUGCUGCAUGCUUACAAUGUGUUUGAUUUUUGGCGCACAUGAAUAUCGCCCUUUCCUUAGUUGAUAGGCAGACAGUGCACUUUCCCCUUGAACCGUCAUGAAAGAGGCAAAGUCUCCCUUUCUCUCUUUCAAACUCCAUUAUGCAGGGAAUGAUGGAAAACGAUAAGA